GACGAACGCUGGCGGCGUGCCUAAUACAUGCAAGUCGAACGCAGUGGGGACGGGUGAGUAACACGUGGGUAACCUCCCAUCAGAGGGGAUAACACUUGGAAACAGGUGCUAAACCGAUACUGACUGAUGUACCCGCGGUGUAUUAGCUAGUGGGUGAGGUAACGGCUCACAAAGGCCACGAGGCAUAGCCGGCCUGGGAGGGUGAUCGGCCACACUGGGACUGAGACACGGCCCAGACUCCUACGGGAGGCAGCAGUGGGGAAUCUUCGGCAAUGGCCGAAAGUCUGACCGAGCAACGCCGCGUGAGUGAAGAAGGUUUUCGGGUCGUAAAGCUCUGUUGUUAGAGAAGCGGUAUCUAACCAGAAAGCCACGGCUAACUACGUGCCAGCAGCCGCGGUAAUUC
rnacentral:rRNA from 1 species